rnacentral:rRNA from 2 species
UCUGGUAGUUAUGGCGAGAAGGUCACACCCGUUCCCAUCCCGAACACGGUAGUUAAGCUUCUCUGCGCCAAUGGUAGUUGGGGGCUUCCCCCU